UGUUCCGAUGCUUCGUGAUGACCGUCUGCCCCACAGAGAUGCCCUUCUCGCCAGCCUUGGACUUCUAACAGAAGAGGUACACAAAGAUGAGAGAAAAGAAACAGGAGAAAGGGAAAAGGAGAAAUAGCCAUAGGAACAAUGGAAGAAGAACCAGCCAACAGCUUUCUACCACCCCUCAUGACAGCAGAAGCACAGAAUUUGCCUGGCCAUCGCACCAGUGUUAAAAUCUUUCCAUUGUUAAUCAAGAAAAUGAACAUCCAUCUAUCAACCUAUCUAGUUUUACUUAAGUGCAUCUCUGUGCCAAGCACUGUGCUUGAAAAAGAUAUGUGGGGUUCCUGUGGAGGCGGAAGGGAUGGGAAAAAACUGAGAGGUUCUGUAGCAGGAACCCUUUCUUUCCCCCCCCAUGUUCUCUCAAAUAUCACCUGAAGGUAAUCUCUGUGGUCCCUAUAGCCUUGGCAAAAAUUACUUCUCAGUAUCUAGUAAGGACACCAGUCUUUACUCCAAACACAUGAUAAAGAUAUAUAAUAACAGAUUUGAAGGUACAAUUAAAAGGUGUUGAAUAUAA